UCUAUUAUCACUUAAGGAUACAGUAGAACAGGAACAAAUAUCGUUGGCCUCUUUGCAACUUCGCGACUUCCAGCUGCAUGGAAAACCAUGCACUUCUAUCAGUCACAAAAAAAUGAACACUUGAGGCAACAUUAAUCACCAAACAAAAAUUAUAAAGACAUACCACUACAGAAACAGGAAUGAAGUUGCAGAGACCAACUCAGCCUAGGGAAGUCUUUCAACAAUUCUGUGCAGCAAUAGUUUGUCACCUGAGAUAACCCAUCUGAUCUACUAGGUCUUGCAAUUCCUCACCCCAAUCUGUAGGUGUUGCAACCAAAUCCUCCAAUUCCACCUCAGCCUCUGACUGAUCCUUCACC
rnacentral:lncRNA from 1 species